GAUGAACGCUAGCGGCAGGCCUAACACAUGCAAGUCGAGCGAAGACUUCGGUCUUAGCGGCGGACGGGUGAGUAACGCGUGGGAACGUGCCUUUCACUACGGAAUAGUCCCGGGAAACUGGGUUUAAUACCGUAUACGCCCUUCGGGGGAAAGAAUUUCGGUGAGAGAUCGGCCCGCGUCUGAUUAGGUAGUUGGUGGGGUAAUGGCCUACCAAGCCGACGAUCAGUAGCUGGUUUGAGAGGAUGAUCAGCCACACUGGGACUGAGACACGGCCCAGACUCCUACGGGAGGCAGCAGUGAGGAAUCUUGGACAAUGGGGCAACCCUGAUCCAGCCAUGCCGCGUGAACGAUGAAGGCCUUAGGGUUGUAAAGUUCUUUUACCAGGGAUGAUAAUGACAGUACCUGGAGAAUAAGCUCCGGCUAACUCCGUGCCAGCAGCCGCGGUAAU
rnacentral:rRNA from 1 species